rnacentral:rRNA from 1 species
CCGUAAACGUUGGGAACUAGAUGUGGGGACCUUUCCACGGUCUCCGUGUCGCAGCUAACGCAUUAAGUUCCCCGCCUGGGGAGUACGGCCGCAAGGCUAAAACUCAAAGGAAUUGACGGGGGCCCGCACAAGCGGCGGAGCAUGCGGAUUAAUUCGAUGCAACGCGAAGAACCUUACCAAGGCUUGACAUAUACCGGAAACUUCCAGAAAUGGUUGCCCCGCAAGGUCGGUAUACAGGUGGUGCAUGGUUGUCGUCAGCUCGUGUCGUGAGAUGUUGGGUUAAGUCCCGCAACGAGCGCAACCCUCGUUCUAUGUUGCCAGCACGUCAUGGUGGGAACUCAUAGGAGACUGCCGGGGUCAACUCGGAGGAAGGUGGGGAUGACGUCAAAUCAUCAUGCCCCUUAUGUCUUGGGCUUCACGCAUGCUACAAUGGCCGGUACAAAGGGCUGCGAUACCGUAAGGUGGAGCGAAUCCCAAAAAGCCGGUCUCAGUUCGGAUUGAGGUCUGCAACUCGACCUCAUGAAGUCGGAGUCGCUAGUAAUCGCAGAUCAGCAACGCUGCGGUGAAUACGUUCCCGGGCCUUGUACACACCGCCCGUCAAGUCAUGAAAGUCGGUAACACCCGAAGCCAGUGGCCUAACCGCAAGGAGGGAGCUGUCGAAGGUGGGAUCGGUGAUUAGGACUAAGU